GGAAAUGUAGUUCAGUGGUAGAAUAUACACCUCUCAUGUGUCAGACGGAAGUUCGAUUCUUUCCAUUUCUG